AUUGAACGCUGGCGGAAUGCUUUACACAUGCAAGUCGAACGGUAGAGGGGGCAACCCCUUGAGAGUGGCGAACGGGUGAGUAAUAUAUCGGAACGUGCCCAGUCGUGGGGGAUAACGUAGCGAAAGUUACGCUAAUACCGCAUACGAUCUACGGAUGAAAGCGGGGGACUCGCAAGAGCCUCGCGCGAUUGGAGCGGCCGAUAUCAGAUUAGGUAGUUGGUGGGGUAAAGGCUCACCAAGCCAACGAUCUGUAGCUGGUCUGAGAGGACGACCAGCCACACUGGAACUGAGACACGGUCCAGACUCCUACGGGAGGCAGCAGUGGGGAAUUUUGGACAAUGGACGCAAGUCUGAUCCAGCCAUUCCGCGUGCAGGAUGAAGGCCCUCGGGUUGUAAACUGCUUUUGUACGGUAACGAAAAGGUCUCGUAUUAAUACUGGGGGCUCAUGACGGUACCGUAAGAAUAAGCACCGGCUAACUACGUG
rnacentral:rRNA from 1 species